GAAGAGAUAAUAUAAGAAGGAUAUCCUCAUUCCUCCCUCAUCUCUUUGUGUUAUCCGAACACAGUGCUCUGUGCUUCUCACCAAUGUCUCUAACUUCUCCUCUCCUUCAACUUCCUCUCUCCCAAUUCAAAUCCCUUUCCCUUUCCACCCCUUUCAUUAAUGGCUCCUCUUCUCUUUCCCGUCUAUCUAAACCCUCUUCAUCUAUCACUUCCCCAAACCCUUCUCCCCCAGCUUUCUUGCCUCCAAUUCGAGCCAUGAGAUCAAUGCAAGGCCGUGUCGUCUGCUCCACAAAUGACAAAACUGUUUCAGUGGAGGUUACCCGUCUUGCGCCUCAUCCGAAAUACAAGCGUAGGGUUAGGAAGAAGAAGAAGUACCAAGCUCAUGACCCUUUGAACCAAUUCCAAGUUGGGGAUUUUGUUCAGCUUGAAAAGACUGCUCCCAUUAGCAAGACUAAGGCUUUCCUUGCUGUACCUGUACCUCCGAGAAACCAGCCCAAACCCAAG
rnacentral:lncRNA from 1 species